rnacentral:rRNA from 1 species
CUAAUACCGCAUGGUGCUUCGUUCGGAAGUAAGCUACGGCGGUUUGGGAACGGCCUGCGCAUGAUUAGCUUGUUGGUGAGGUAAUAGCUCACCAAGGCGACGAUCAUUAGCUGGUCUGAGAGGAUGAUCAGCCAGACUGGGACUGAGAACGGCCCAGACUCCUACGGGAGGCAGCAGUAGGGAAUUUUCCACAAUGGGGGCAACCCUGAUGGAGCAACGCCGCGUGCAGGAUGAAGGCCCUAGGGUCGUAAACUGCUUUUAUCUGUGACGAAUAUGACGGUAGCAGAUGAAUAAGGAUCGGCUAACUCCGUG